GAAAGAGAUGGCUUUUCCCUGCUUGGGCCAGGACCUGUGAGCUCCCUAGGACUACAGGGAUGAAAACUAACUUCAGACAGGGCUAUGCAUCUGGUUCUGCAGGGACGCAAGAAAGCCUGAGAGAGAGUGUGUGUUUUGCAAGAUUGUGUCUUCUCAUAGUAUUUCCAUUCCUGGAUAGUGAAACUAUCAUGAAGACCAGCUCUCUCAUUACUUAGGCCCAGAAAUGCCUCCUUCAGUGCCUAGUACAUGGAUGCUGCCUGAAAUAAUGUAUGGAGCAUCAAGAGAAACAGAAAGUGAAAAUGACUAGUCUCUUUCCAGUCUAAGGGUCUGAUCCUCCAAAUACUGAGCAGCAGCAGCAUUAUCUUUCCCCAGCAGUCAAUGUUGGUUUCCCGAGUCCAGAAACAGCUCUCCUUUGAAUGAAUCUUCUCUAGGACAAGUUUUUUUUUCCCCACAAUUAGCUGCUCCAAUUUCUGUCUCCGCUGUUGAAAUCAGCUCAGCAGCGCAGUGGCUGGCUUCCAAAGCCAUCAAGGUGCAUGAUCGCUAAUGCAUGUGUAGCAACCUCUGUAUAUUAAUGAGUGUCUGGACCAUGGCACUCAGCUGUGUUCCUUCUGUGCUGGCUGACAGUUUGAAAAUGGCCCUGAUUCACAAAAGGUGGAUAAAUCAUGGGAUGCCAGCGGAGGAUUCAUAGAAAUUUGCUACUGUGACCACAAGUCCCUGAAUUCGCAGGGCUUCUGGUAGCUGUCCCACAAUGCACAGUGAGAAAAAUCCCAACAUGCAUAGAGCUCACCAGCAGGACAAAAUGCCAGUGGAGACCUAGUCAGAAUUCUGAGCACUUAUUUUGGAAAAAAGUCAGUACCAUGUGUAUAUACUGAUUCGGAGGGAAGUAGGUAACAGCCAGACAUGUGGAUGAAAUUAUUUCAGAAUAACUAUUGCAAAACU